rnacentral:rRNA from 1 species
GAUGAACGCUGGCGGCGUGCCUAAUACAUGCAAGUCGAGCGAACGGACGAGAAGCUUGCUUCUCUGAUGUUAGCGGCGGACGGGUGAGUAACACGUGGAUAACCUACCUAUAAGACUGGGAUAACUUCGGGAAACCGGAGCUAAUACCGGAUAAUAUUUUGAACCGCAUGGUUCAAAAGUGAAAGACGGUCUUGCUGUCACUUAUAGAUGGAUCCGCGCUGCAUUAGCUAGUUGGUAAGGUAACGGCUUACCAAGGCAACGAUGCUUAGCCGACCUGAGAGGGUGAUCGGCCACACUGGAACUGAGACACGGUCCAGACUCCUACGGGAGGCGGCAGUAGGGAAUCUUCCGCAAUGGGCGAAAGCCUGACGGAGCAACGCCGCGUGAGUGAUGAAGGUCUUCGGAUCGUAAAACUCUGUUAUUAGGGAAGAACAUAUGUGUAAGUAACUGUGCACAUCUUGACGGUACCUAAUCAGAAAGCCACGGCUAACUACGUG